rnacentral:rRNA from 1 species
UUUCAACAAUGAAGCGAGUGGCGAACUGGUGAGUAACACGUGGGGAAUCUGCCCAGAAGCAGGGGGAUAACACUUGGAAACAAGUGCUAAUACCGCAUAACAACUUAGAUCACAUGAUCUUUGUUUAAAAGAUGGUUUUGCUAUCUCUUCUGGAUGGACCCGCGGCGUAUUAGCUAGUUGGUGAGGUAAUAGCUCACCAAGGCGAUGAUACGUAGCCGACCCUGAGAGGGUAAUCGGCCACAUUGGGACUGAGACACGGCCCAAACUCC